AACCUUGAGAGACCAACAGGGAUUGCCCCAGUAACGGCGAGUGAAGCGGCAACAGCUCAAAUUUGAAAUCUGGCUCUCGGGCCCGAGUUGUAAUUUGUAGAGGAUGCUUUUGGUGAGGUGCCUUCCGAGUUCCCUGGAACGGGACGCCAUAGAGGGUGAGAGCCCCGUCUGGUUGGACGCCGAACCUCUGUAAAGCUCCUUCGACGAGUCGAGUAGUUUGGGAAUGCUGCUCUAAAUGGGAGGUAUAUGUCUUCUAAAGCUAAAUACCGGCCAGAGACCGAUAGCGCACAAGUAGAGUGAUCGAAAGAUGAAAAGAACUUUGAAAAGAGAGUUAAACAGUACGUGAAAUUGUUGAAAGGGAAGCGCUUGUGACCAGACUUGGGCUUGGUUGAUCAUCCGGGGUUCUCCCCGGUGCACUCUUCCGGCUCAGGCCAGCAUCAGUUCGCCCUGGGGGAUAAAGGCAUCGGGAACGUGGCUCUCUCCGGGGAGUGUUAUAGCCCGUUGCGUAAUACCCUGUGGCGGACUGAGGUUCGCGCAUUCGCAAGGAUGCUGGCGUAAUGGUCAUCAGUGACCCGUCUUGAAACACGGACCAAGGAGUCGUCUUCGUAUGCGAGUGUUCGGGUGUCAAACCCCUACGCGAAAUGAAAGUGAACGCAGGUGAGAGCUUCGGCGCAUCAUCGACCGAUCCUGAUGUUAUCGGAUGGAUUUGAGUAAGAGCAUACGGGGCCGGACCCGAAAGAAGGUGAACUAUGCCUGUGUAGGGUGAAGCCAGAGGAAACUCUGGUGGAGGCUCGCAGCGGUUCUGACGUGCAAAUCGAUCGUCAAACAUGGGCAUGGGGGCGAAAGACUAAUCGAACCUUCUAGUAGCUGGUUUCCGCCGAAGUUUCCCCUCAGGAA
rnacentral:rRNA from 1 species